GGACUACUCGGGUAUCUAAUCCCGUUCGCUCCCCUGGCUUUCGCGCCUCAGCGUCAGAAGGGGUCCAGCAGCCCGCUUUCGCCACCGGCGUUCCUCCCGAUAUCUACGCAUUUCACCGCUCCACCGAGAGUUCCAACUGCCCCUACCCCACUCGAGACACUCAGUCUCAGAGGCACUUCCCCGGUUAGGCCGGGGGCUUUCACCCCUGACUUGAAUGCCCGCCUACGCGCCCUUUAAGCCCAGUGAAUCCGAACAACGUUCGCACGGUUCGUCUUACCGCGGCUGCUGGCAC
rnacentral:rRNA from 2 species